rnacentral:rRNA from 1 species
UCAACCGAGAUUCCCCCAGUAGCGGCGAGCGAACGGGGAGCAGCCCAGAGCCUGAAUCAGUGUGUGUGUUAGUGGAAGCGUCUGGAAAGGCGCGCGAUACAGGGUGACAGCCCCGUACACAAAAAUGCACAUACUGUGAGCUCGAUGAGUAGGGCGGGACACGUGGUAUCCUGUCUGAAUAUGGGGGGACCAUCCUCCAAGGCUAAAUACUCCUGACUGACCGAUAGUGAACCAGUACCGUGAGGGAAAGGCGAAAAGAACCCCGGCGAGGGGAGUGAAAAAGAACCUGAAACCGUGUACGUACAAGCAGUGGGAGCCUCUUUAUGGGGUGACUGCGUACCUUUUGUAUAAUGGGUCAGCGACUUAUAUUCUGUAGCAAGGUUAACCGAAUAGGGGAGCCGAAGGGAAACCGAGUCUUAACUGGGCGUUAAGUUGCAGGGUAUAGACCCGAAACCCGGUGAUCUAGCCAUGGGCAGGUUGAAGGUUGGGUAACACUAACUGGAGGACCGAACCGACUAAUGUUGAAAAAUUAGCGGAUGACUUGUGGCUGGGGGUGAAAGGCCAAUCAAACCGGGAGAUAGCUGGUUCUCCCCGAAAGCUAUUUAGGUAGCGCCUCGUGAAUUCAUCUCCGGGGGUAGAGCACUGUUUCGGCAAGGGGGUCAUCCCGACUUACCAACCCGAUGCAAACUGCGAAUACCGGAGAAUGUUAUCACGGGAGACACACGGCGGGUGCUAACGUCCGUCGUGAAGAGGGAAACAACCCAGACCGCCAGCUAAGGUCCCAAAGUCAUGGUUAAGUGGGAAACGAUGUGGGAAGGCCCAGACAGCCAGGAUGUUGGCUUAGAAGCAGCCAUCAUUUAAAGAAAGCGUAAUAGCUCACUGGUCGAGUCGGCCUGCGCGGAAGAUGUAACGGGGCUAAACCAUGCACCGAAGCUGCGGCAGCGACACUAUGUGUUGUUGGGUAGGGGAGCGUUCUGUAAGCCUGCGAAGGUGUACUGUGAGGUAUGCUGGAGGUAUCAGAAGUGC